CGUCCUCUGCUGUGUGCGACCGCGUGCCAAACAUUCGCCUUGGCCCUUAAAAACGACAUCGGGAAUGUGACCGUCAUCCGGAGUGCAUGCCCGCCUGCGAGCGGGAAGCCCGAAGGUGGCCGAGCGUUCCCACUUGAACCCCGGGUUCAAGGUCGUUUCGCACGCAUCGGCAUGGUGGAGGACUC
rnacentral:other from 1 species